rnacentral:piRNA from 1 species
GAAGCUUGACAGUCUCUUCGCGUAUGGGA